rnacentral:rRNA from 1 species
GAUGAACGCUGGCGGCGUGCUUAACACAUGCGAGUCGAACGGUGAAGCUCCAGCUUGCUGGAGUGGAUCAGUGGCGAACGGGUGAGUAACACGUGAGCAACCUGCCCCUGACUCUGGGAUAACAGCCGGAAACGGCUGCUAAUACCGGAUAUGCACCAUGAACGCAUGUUCUGUGGUGGGAAAGAUUUUUCGGUUGGGGAUGGGCUCGCGGCCUAUCAGCUUGUUGGUGAGGUAAUGGCUCACCAAGGCGUCGACGGGUAGCCGGCCUGAGAGGGUGACCGGCCCACCGGGGCUGGGGCCACGGCCCAGCCCCCCCCGGGGGGCAGGGGGGGGGAAUAUUGCAAAAGGGGGGAAAGCCUGAUGCAGCAACCCCGGGUGGGGGAGGACGGCCUUGGGGUUUUAACCCUUUUUUAGCAGGAAAGAAGCGGGGGGGCCGGUACCUGCAAAAAAAGCCCCGGCUAACUACGU